GCACUGGUCGUCCAUCCAACCAAACCAUAUGUGCUCUCUACUUUUAACAAAAUGAAACUUUGGGACUGGGACAAAGAUUGGGAGUGCAUACAAACAUUUGAUAUGGAACACUCUGCUUCCAUACGUCAAGUAGCAUUUAGUCCAAAAGACACAAACACUUUUGCUAGUGCUUCAAGUGAUCACACAAUAAAGCUUUGGAGACUUAAUUCUUCCAAAUCUGAGUAUACGUUGUGUGGCCAUUCGGACAAAGUGAACUGCCUGGAGUUCUUCACUGGUGAUGGUCAGCAAUAUUUGAUUACUGGCUCUCAAGAC
rnacentral:rRNA from 1 species